rnacentral:misc_RNA from 1 species
GGAAGUAAAAUCGUAACAAGGUUUCCGUAGGUGAACCUGCGGAAGGAUCAUUAUUGGAUUUUGAAACUUCAGGCUGCUGCUGGCUCUCCUCGGAGGGCAUGUGCACGCUUGUUGUCCAUUAUUUCUCCCACUGUGCACAAAUUGUAGACCUUUCAGUAGGCCUAUGUUGUUUUUCACAAUCUCUGAAUGUAAUAGAAUGGUUUUGAAUCUUGGGAAAUACAAUACAACUUUCAGCAACGGAUCUCUUGGCUCUC